AUUAUCGUCAUGAAACAAGGUGCGUAACGACUCGUUAUGCUUAAAAGGGAAGAACGGUGCAAAUCCGUCACGGUCCCGCCACUGUAAUGGGGAAUUUCAUUGUAUGAAGUCACUGAGUAUUCGGGAAGACACAAUGAAAUGAUGAACCUAAGUCAGGAGACCUGCCUUGUUUUCGUCUUCAAUA
rnacentral:ncRNA from 13 species